CUCAGAGUGACAGCAAUGGAAAGCCCCGCCCUGCCGGCUCCAUAGAACUGGCAAGGAGCCGUUGAAAAGCAUUAUUCAUUUUAUCUCUGUAUCAUGAAGUUCCAGGUCAUGGAUUCCAAUAAGUAUAGACUACAGGCUCUGUAGGAAUGCUGAGAAAACAGGCAUGCUCAGGAUCCAGUCCCUGUCCUUAAGGACUCACCAUCUAAUGAGGAAGAUAAAUGUAGAAAUUUGAGAGAUGGAAGAAAUAAUGACAAAGUGGAAAAUGAGACAAUCAGGCAAUGAGGACCGUGGUGUAUGGUUGUAAAGCCGCAAAGGAAACCGGUAAUGAACAACCAACGGACCACAAAGAAAUGAAGCUGAAGUCAUUGAAUUUUUGCUGAUCCUAAACCUUGUCUGCCAUUUAUACUUAUUUAUUUUUUAAAAGAUUUUAUUUAUUUAUUUGAGAGAGAGAGAAAGAGUAUGAGCUGGGGGAGGGACAG